rnacentral:rRNA from 1 species
GAUGAACGCUGGCGGCGUGCCUAAUACAUGCAAGUAGAACGCUGAAGGAGGAGCUUGCUCUUCUGGAUGAGUUGCGAACGGGUGAGUAACGCGUAGGUAACCUGCCUGGUAGCGGGGGAUAACUAUUGGAAACGAUAGCUAAUACCGCAUGACAACAGUUAUUGCAUGAUAACUGUUUAAAAGGGGCAACUGCUCCACUACCAGAUGGACCUGCGUUGUAUUAGCUAGUUGGUGAGGUAACGGCUCACCAAGGCGACGAUACAUAGCCGACCUGAGAGGGGGAUCGGCCAGACUGGGACUGAGACACGGCCCAGACUCCUACGGGAGGCAGCAGUAGGGAAUCUUCGGCAAUGGACGGAAGUCUGACCGAGCAACGCCGCGUGAGUGAAGAAGGGUUUCGGAUCGUAAAGCUCUGUUGUAAGAGAAGAACGAGUGUGAGAGUGGAAAGUUCACACUGUGACGGUAGCUUACCAGAAAGAGACGGCUAACUACGUG